UACGAAGGGGACUAGCGUUGCUCGGAAUUACUGGGCGUAAAGGGCGCGUAGGCGGAUAGUUUAGUCAGAGGUAAAAGCCCAGGGCUCAACCUUGGAACUGCCUUUGAUACUGGCUAUCUUGAGUUCGGGAGAGGUGAGUGGAAUGCCGAGUGUAGAGGUGAAAUUCGUAGAUAUUCGGCGGAACACCAGUGGCGAAGGCGACUCACUGGCCCGAUACUGACGCUGAGGCGCGAAAGCGUGGGGAGCAAACAGG
rnacentral:rRNA from 1 species